GGAGAUCAUAUAGGAAAAUGAGAUUUUAAGCGGUCUGAGCGGAGAUUUCUCUCCAUCCAAGGGAACUGAGCUGCUCGGUUACAGCGGGUAGGCUACUUUGGGUUUGUCCGUCCACAAAUCCAGGAAUUUAUUAAAAGACAGAAGUGGGAGAACUACUGAAACAGUUUACUCGACACAAAGUAAAAAUAAUAAAGCUGAAGAAUAAAUAUUACAAAUAGAAGUUUCACAUUUUAAAAAACUGUAAUCUGUAACAUUAUAAAUUAGUAGCUGAAUGAUUCCUAAUCAGGGUCCCCUAGAAGGUCAAAUAGGUCUCAUAGCAUUCACAAAAAGAAUACAGAGGUCUGCCUUAAUUUUUUUAAACAAUGCUUUUAUGUGUGUGUAAAGUGCAUUAACUGUAUACAAAUGAUGGUCAUAUCCUGGGUCUAAGAAGGUAAGAGAGUGCAGAAGUGCCUUAACCUGCAUUCCUUUAAAUGGCCAGCAGGGGGCUUCUGCUUCCAAAAAAAAGUCCAGUUAAAUAGAAGUCUGUGAGUUUUCUGUUGAGUUUAUGUUCUCAAUCGCUGCUUUCAAGUCAUAUUUAAUGCAAAGUGAGGUUUAUUUUGCAAAUUAUGGUUAUUUUUAGAGUCAAAAAGGAUGAUAAAGCAGAGAAGCUGGCAGCGUAUCUUGUGUGAUGUCCCUGGGGUUCUUAGAUCCACUCUCAACAUGUCUGCUUUAAAAACACCUAAAUGGUGAGGACAAAAACACUUCACUCAAGGCUACAUUCACCCUUUUAUAAACAGUCUGAACUAAAAAUAACGGCUCAAACUUACCCAGUGUAUACGGUGUGGGAAAUAAUUAUUUGAUCCCCUACUGAAUUUGUACAGUAGUGGCCAAACGUUUUGAGAAUGACACAGUUUUUCACAAAGUUUGCUGCUUGAGUGUUUUUAUACCUUUGUGUAAGUUGUUUCUGUGAUGUUUUGAAGUAUAAUUACAAACACUAUGUAAGUUUCAAAGGCUUUCAUCGAUAUGUUUAUGCAAAGAGUCAAUAUUUGUAGUGUUGGCCCUUCUUUUCCAAGAACUCUGCAGUUUGCCCUGGCAUGCUUUCAAUCAACUUCUGGGCCAAAUCCUGACCGAUGGCAACCCAUUCUUUCAUAAUCAAUGCUUUGAGUUUGCCAGAAUGUUUUGUUCCCCAAGCCACUUAAUCACUUUGGUCACUUAUCACUUUGGUCUUAUGGCACGGUGCUCCAUUAUGCUGGAUAAGGCAUUGUUCUUCACCAAACUGCUUUUGGAUGGUUAGAAGAAGUUGCUGUUAGAGGAUGUUUUGUUUCUAUUCUUUAUUCAGGGCUGUGAUAUUUGGCCAAAUUGUGAGUGAGCUAACUCCCUUGGACAAGAAGCAGCCCCACAGAUGAAUGGUCUCAGGAUGUUUUACUGUUGGCAUGAGACAGGACUGAUGGUGGUGCUCACCUUUUCCUCUCCAGAUAAUCCUUUUUCCAGAUGCCCCAAACAAUCAGAAAGGGGCUUCAUCAGAUAAAAUGACUUUACGCCAGUUCUCAGCAGUCCACUUCCUGCACUUUUUGCAGAAUAUCAAUCUGUCCUGACAUUUUAUUUGGGAGGAGUGGCUUCUUUGCUGCCCUUCUUGACACCAGGCCAUCUUCCAAAAGUCUUUGUCUCACUGUGCAUGCAGAUGCACUCACACCUGCCUGCUACCUUUCCUGAGCAAGGUCUGCACUGGUGGCACUCCCGCAGCUGAAUCAUCUUUAGGAGACCGCCCUGGCGCUUGUUGGACUUUCUUGGGUGCCCUGAAACCUUCAAUUUCGGUGCAGUCUUGAUGGUCAAAACCAUCCUUGCCUGUGAAGCCUUUUUUAUGCAAUGCAAUGAUGGCUGUGUUUCUUUGCAGGUAACCAAGGUUAACAGGAAGAACAAUGAUUUCAAACAUCAUGCUCCUUUCAUCACCUCCAGUCUGGUAUUCUAAACCAGUCAGCAUGACAUAAUGAUCUCCAGCCUUGUGCUCGUCAACACUCUCACCUGAGUUAACUGCAAGAUUAUUGAAAUGAUCUCAGCAGGCUUUUUGGGGAUUAAGUUCACUGUCAUGGCAAAGAAGGACUUCGCAAUUCAUCUGAUCACUCUUUAUAACACUCUGGAGUAUAUGCAAAUUGCUAUCAUAAAAUUUGAAGCAGCAAACUUCGUGAAAACAAAUAUUUGUGUCAUUCUUAAAACUUUGGGCAACAACUGCAAGUUUGCUCACAUACAAAGAAAUGAACAGUCUCUAAUUUUUAUGGAGAGAAACAGAAAAUCAACUGAAAAUCCAGAAAAACACAUGACACAAAAGUUAUAAAUGAAUUAGCAUGUCAUUGAGUGAAAUAAGCAUGUGAUCCCCUACAACCCAGCCACAAUUCUGGCUUCCACGGGUUGGCUGUAUGCCCACACAGAUUAAUAUCAAUCAAUCAAUCCAUUACAGAUAUUCCUGAUCUUAUCUUUUUAUGUGUAUAAAGCACACCUGUCCACAGAAUACAUUUCUUCCAUUUGAACCUCUCCACUACCUCCAAGGCCAAAGAGCAAGUCUGUAGACCUACACAGGGCUGGAGUGGACUACAAGACUGUCAGCAAGAACCUUGGUAAGACAGUAACAGUUGUUGGAGCAAUUGGGAGCUUGUUUAUGAUCUGGAGGCAGUCGGGACCAUAGUCACCAAGAACAUCACUGGCAACUCUAAUGGAUUGAAAUCUUGCAGUGCCCACAAGGUCUCCCUGCACAAGAAACCACAUGUACAGUGUGUAAGUUUGCCAUUGAACAUCUAAACCAGGGGUGCCCAAUCCCAGUCCUCGAGAGCUACUGCCCUGCAGCUUUUAGAUGCGUCCUUGUUCCAGCACACCUGAAUCAAAUGAAUGGCUCGUUAUCAGGCCUUUGCCAGACUUGAUGGCAUGCCGAAUUGGUAAUCCAACUAUUUGAUUCAGCUGUGUUGGAGUAGGGAUGCAUCUAAAAGCUGCAGGACAGUAGCUCUCGAGGACUGGGAUUGGGCACCCCUGAUCUAAACGAUUCAGAGGCUUGACCUCUAGGAUUUUCUCCAGGAGAACUGCUGCUCACUGGAUAUUUUUUUUUCAGACCAUUCUCUUUAAACACUGGAGAUGUUUGUGUGGGAAAGUACUGGAUCAGCAGUUUUUGAAAUACUCGGCCCAGCGCAUCUGGCACCAACAACCAUGCCGCAUUCAUUUAGGCAUGUGGAUGUGCUCACGUCUACAUGCCUAAGUGGAUUGGGUUGCUGAUUGGGUUGCUGAUUGGCUGAUUAGAUAUUUGUUAACGAGCUGCUGCAAAGGCUUCCGCUCAGCUCAGACCUCUUCUGGUGACUCAGUCUGAGGCCGUCAUUUCUGCUGACAGGAAACACUCAAGUUACUCUUUUAGCUCUCUGGGAGAUAUCGAUCUUCACACUGCUCUACUCGUGACAUCGAAAACCAGAACUUAACGAAACACUGUCAACUCAUGCUGCUGUGGAUAAAACAUAUUUGUUCAUACAAUGUGAGUUUGAUCAAAUCAAUCAUUUUAAAAAGUGAUUUCAUAAUCAAUUUCCCACAGCUCAUUUGGGUCCAGAGGGCAGCAGUAUAAGCAGAUGUCACUCCCAAUUUUUUUGUUAAACACCAAAAACAUGCUAAAAGGACAAAAACCAAGACCAAAACUAAUGAAAAUGUACUAAAAUUUAAUCAUUCAUAAAAGCUGGAAAAUCAUCUGUGACAGGGUAACACAAGAAGCGAUAUUAGAGUUGGUUUAGUACAAUAUAUUUUCAGCCUCAAGACAAAUCAGAACGCACCAUUUCCCCAUCAGUCUAUAAAAUACUAAUUUCCUUAGCUUUAUUAUGCAAAAAUGGAAGUAUAAUAUAUUAUGGGAAAUAUGGAAGGCUUGCAGCUUUCGAUAUAAAACAAAGUCACUUAGGAAAGAUGUUAUUUCAUCAAUACACAUCCUUGUAAGUAGGAGCGAGUAAUUUAUGGACAAUGAUGCAUCUUCAUUGACACUGUUAGUGCAGAAAUGUACAAGAAGACCAACA